rnacentral:rRNA from 1 species
GAUGAACGCUGGCGGCGUGCCUAAUACAUGCAAGUCGAGCGAACGGACGAGAAGCUUGCUUCUCUGGUGUUAGCGGCGGACGGGUGAGUAACACGUGGAUAACCUACCUAUAAGACUGGGAUAACUUCGGGAAACCGGAGCUAAUACCGGAUAAUAUUUUGAACCACAUGGUUCAAAAGUGAAAGACGGUCUUGCUGUCACUUAUAGAUGGAUCCGCGCUGCAUUAGCUAGUUGGUAAGGUAACGGCUUACCAAGGCAACGAUGCAUAGCCGACCUGAGAGGGUGAUCGGCCACACUGGAACUGAGACACGGUCCAGACUCCUACGGGAGGCAGCAGUAGGGAAUCUUCCGCAAAGGGCGAAAGCCUGACGGAGCAACGCCGCGUGAGUGAUGAAGGUCUUCGGAUCGUAAAACUCUGUUAUUAGGGAAGAACAUAUGUGUAAGUAACUGUGCACAUCUUGACGGUACCUAAUCAGAAAGCCACGGCUAACUACGUG